GGGCGAGUAGCCGAGUGGUUAAAGGCACCUGACUCUUAAUCAGGCGUGAGAAAUCCUACGUGGGUUCGAAUCCCACCUCGCCCU
rnacentral:tRNA from 6 species